GCCCGCCUAGCUCAAUCGGAUAGAGCGUCAGACUCUUACAGUCGCAAGGCAGGGUGCAUCUGAAGGCUGCGAGUUCGACCCUCGCGGUGGGCU